UACGGAGGGUGCAAGCGUUAUCCGGAUUUACUGGGCGUAAAGCGUGCGCAGGCGGCUUUGCAAGUCAGAUGUGAAAUCCCCGGGCUUAACCUGGGAACUGCAUUUGUGACUGCAUGGCUAGAGUGCGGCAGAGGGGGAUGGAAUUCCGCGUGUAGCAGUGAAAUGCGUAGAUAUGCGGAGGAACACCGAUGGCGAAGGCAAUCCCCUGGGCCUGCACUGACGCUCAUGCACGAAAGCGUGGGGAGCAAACAGG
rnacentral:rRNA from 1 species